UCAACGUUACGAAACAGCGUAACGGUGUUAGAGCAUGGUCACAGCUCACGUACUGUGAGAAUGCGUUUGGCGAGUGAUGGCUGGAAAGAAACGUUGCUGUAUCCUAUCUAUAGGCGGUGUGUGAAGUUUAAAGGGGCGGGCAGUGCAUGGAGCUACAUCCCUGAUUAACAUUCAACAAUUUGAGAACUGAAUCGAAAGCGAGAGACGGCAGCCAGACAAGAAGCUUCCAAAAUCACGCUGCCUCUUGUUGACCUUCUUGACCUGCUACAGGCCGUGUGGUGAAGCCGCCCCCAAAUUGAUGGUCACUGCGGAGUUACAGGAUUUUUAUCCAGUAGUGAAAGGUUCCUCAGUGUGUUGUUUAUCCUAUUCGUGAGCUGUGGAUGGGGUCAAACGCCCUCUUUUGGAAGUCUGCUGUCUGCCAGGGAAUUCCUAGAGGCAUGGCACUCAUCCACAGA